rnacentral:lncRNA from 1 species
UGAAAGAAACCCCAAUCUUUAGCUGCAAAGUGCAACUUAUUAAGCUCAAGAUUCAUGGAGUCAUGAUCGUUAGAGUUGAUCAAUCGUUGCAUAUCAAUUACUGGAACUUGCUUAUAAUUUGAUGUUGCAAUUGAACGGUCUUGAUCAUCACGCACGUAUCGCGAUGGAAUCGUCAUGAGUUUCUUCUUGGCCAGUUCCUGGACAGAAGGAACUUCCAUGUACUUAACUUCUAUUUCUCCCAUAUUUGUUUAACUGCUUAAUUCUAUGGCGUUCCAAUAUUGAAUAAUUUGAUAUUAUAUUAACUCUACCAUCCCUUUCCUUUCACUUGUGUCCACAACUAUUUUAAAAUUAUUGUGUGUGAGGUCAAUAAAUCUGUCAGUAUAAUAAUUGGUGGGCAAAAUAGGACAAACAAAGACCAUAAGCAGAUCUAGAUACCACCAGAGGCAUACUAUAUAUGGUUAUAUCCUUGUUAUAUCAUCAAUAACGUGGGACAACUAAAACAGUUUCAAUUUGUUUGUCUUAUUAGUUUUUUUUUUUUUUUAAUUUAGUCUAUUUAAAAAAGAAUGUACAAUUUUUUAAUAUCAAUUUUCCAUAUGACAUAUUUAAAACUAUAAAAUUCGAAAGUCUUUUUUUAUUUUCUUAAAUUAUGUGACAAGUCAAAAUCAUACCACCGUUAUAUAAGUUACUAGAAACUUAUAAGGACCACCGUUAUAUAACUAUUCAUAUGCAGAUGUCGCUACCCGAAUUGCGUAUAAAUAAACUACACUCAAACUAAACUAUAUACACGGAGUAAUUUACAAAUUAAGGCAAAACAGGAAAUAAGGAGUAAGAAAAUAAAAUUAGAAGUCGACUUAAUAAUUUAGAGUUUAUUUGAGGGUUAUUUAUUAAUUUUAAAUAAAGAAAACUUUUACAUAUUCAAAUGUUUUAAAAAAUAAACAGUCUUAAUUUUUAGUAUUCCAAUCUUAAUACAAUAUCUUACCUAACGUCUUAAGAAUUCAAAUGUAUAUUCAAAUUCAGAUACCUAAAUCUUUACACAUAUGUUAAUAUCAAUCAUUUGAUCAUAAUCAAAGGAUUUACUUACAUAGGUACCAUUAAUACAAGUACUAAUUAAUAUUUUGAAUCAUCUUCUCUGGUGAUUCUCAUGGUGUCCAUAUAUGAUUUUCCUACAAGUUCAUGGUUAAAAAAUCCUUUAUAAUAUUCAGUGACUCCCAUUUUUUCGAAUCUUGGUGGAUUUUGAGCUGUAACAAGUUGUGGCGGAGCCAACUUACACUCAAAGGUACAUUUGAACUCUUUUUGAUAGAAAAUUAUAUUAUUUAUACAUGGUUAAAAUAAUUUCUUAGAUAUAUAUAGUAGAUGUCGAACCUCCUUCGGCUACUUUAUGUGUCUAUUUUUUCAAAUUUUGAACUCCUUAUUGAAAAUUCUGACUCCGCACCUAGUAACAAGGCUACUUGAUGGACCUAAUAUACCAUCCAAUCUUGGACUCUGAAAUGUUGCUACCGAAAUCCUUUCUUUGUCUGAGUUCACCACUGAUCUAUGCUCUAUGCUUUUGUAUAUUUCAUUUGACAAAAUCUGCUCCAAAAAAUAAAUAAAUUUUAUUACAAAGAAGAAUAUAUAUAAGACCAGGGCUACAAGUAGGGGUGUCAAAUAUCGCCUACAAAAGCGAUGACUCGCCAAAAUUUUUAAGGAUUGAGUACAAGAUAAUUCCAUAUUUGGUUAAUUUUAGACCAAUUUAGUAUAAUCCAUUUUGAAAAUGAUCUUCAAUUUAGCUUUACAUUAGUGGCCGGUUAUAGCUUUGAUUUAUUCUAUUUGUUUUUCUAUAUAUAAGUCAUGGUUUGAGUUUUAGAAGUCUAGUCCCAAGUCAAGGUCCGGUCCGAAGUUAGGGUCAAAACCUAGGUUUUGGGUUCCGUGUCAAAGGCAUAUUGAGUUUUGGAUUCUGGGUCAAAGUUGGACCUCGGUGUUUGCAACAAAUUUUAAAGUGACAGAAAAUAAAUUGCAAAAAAAAUAAAAUGAAGAAACGUAAUUUUAUUCAUCAAGAUUGCAGGUGGAAUUUUGUUGAUCCCUUGAUUCUACUCUUCUAAGAUUUAUGCAUAUUUAAGGACCGUUAAUGGUGUAUUUCUCGAAUUAGGAUGAUUUGUUAAUUGAGUGUUCUAUAUUAAUUUUAUAUAAUCAAGACGAGGUUAAUGGGUGCUCGAUCACCCGGAGGACUCUACGUGGGUCCGCCCCGUGAUGAAGAGUCUGGACACAAAGGUCUUGAUACUAUAUAUCUUGAUGUGAAAAACUUAAAAAAUGACUACAAUGAACAAAAAUCUCAUUCAUGAACUUAAAUGACGUGCAACUUACUUUUGUUUGCUAAUUUUAGAAAUUAUAAUGAUGACAGAUAAUUUGUAGAUUAGUGCUGGAGAAAACAACAUGAAUACUAUAUUAUCUUAUUUCCUUAUGUAUUUGAUUGUUAUUACUCCCUCUAUUGGGCAUGGAGUUUAAAAAAAUACAAAAAGAUUUUUUAAGUUUGUAGUCUGAAAUAAGUCAUAUAUAUUUAAGUACUUAAAAUUAUUAUCUAGGGUGAAAUUAAUAUUUUGAAUCUAUAUUGUUACUAAAUAUAUAAAAAAAAAUUGUCAUUGUGGUUUAAAAAAAAAAGAAAUAAGUGUCAACAAUACAUCUAAACUAUCACAUUUUUUUGAGCUUCAUACCUAAAUAACUAAACUAUUGGAAGUGUAUAAUACACUCUCUGUUUUAUUGGUAAACUUUUGCCACAUGAAUAAAUUAUUUCAUCUUGACAAAAAUAAAAUAAGUCAUUAAUAUUAAUUGUCAUUUUAUUGGGACAAAUUGAAAAGAAAAGUAAGUCACAGUUAUACAAACAAAUUAAAAUAAAGAAAGUAAUAAUUUAUAAGGACCACCAUUAUAUUAUAUUGAAUAACCAUCCAUCACUAAUAACUGUCACCACCCAAAUUGCGUAUACCCGAACCACACGCAAACUAGACUAUCGUUAAAAUAUAUUCUUUAAAAGGAUUUCUUGUAGCCAAUGUUUGACAUUUAUGUAAUGACUAUUCACAUGUGAUGGCAAUGUUAUCACAUCAUGUAAUCACAUAUUAGUACCCAUCUCUUUUUCAAAUGCUUCAUUAAAAGUCAUAAUUGAGGUUCUAUUUUGUAUUUAAAUAAAAGAUGGUUAAAUUGUAUACAAAAGUCAAAAUUUAGGUUAGGUUAUACCCAAAAUAAACAGUUUAUUUUUUUUAUUCAAAAGCUAAAGAUUUAAUGCUACUAUGUAAUCGUGGCAUGGCAAUUAAUUCAUUAUUUAAAAAAACAUAAAAAUAUUCAAUAGUAACGGUUACACUCGCCACUCGUUAAAAAAUCAUAUGAUAUAUUUGAGGUAUUUUUUUUAGUAUAUGUAUCUAUAAAGUUUAAAUUUUUUAAUUAAACAUAAAAUUAGUUAUUGACUUAAUAAUUUUGAAAUUUGAAUCAUCUAUACCAUGUUAUGUAUAGUGCAAGGCCUAAUUUUGGACGAAGUAUUUUUGGAAAAUCAUUUGCCACAGGGACCAUGUUAUGUAUAGUACAAGGCCUAAUUUUAUUUGGUUGUCAUCCUUUUAGAUUUCACGCUACUUUAGAAAUUAUACAAGUUUAUCAUUAUACUCUUAUUUAGUAUUUUCUUAAAGUCAAGUUUUCAAUCAAUGAACAUAAAUUAAUUUAUUUUGAUUAAUUAAUUUGACCAAUAUACAAGAAUUAUUUACUUAAUUUUUCUAUGUUGGUCAAAUGUAUAUUUUUAAGACAAAUAACUCUCAAAGGUAAAAUGGAAAAAUAAUAUUAUUUAUGCAUUGUUUUUGUGAAAUGCCCUAUAUCCCAAUUUAUGUGACUUACUUUCUUUUUUCGUCUGUUCCAGAAAGAAUGACACAUUUCUAUAUUAAGUAACAAUUUAAUUAUAUAAUGUUUAUUUUACCCUUAAUGAAAUGAUUUACAGUCACACAAAUUUCUAUAAUUUAUUUUAAACCACAAGUUUUAAAAGUCUUCAUUUUUUUCUUAAACUCCGUGUCGAGUCAAACUAACUCAUAUAAAAUGGAAUGGAAGGACUAAGAAACAUUUAUUUUUAAUAAAGACGACUUGUAAAUAUGAACUAGGGAGUAUUAUCAUAUCUCUUUAUGUUUGUAUUUGAUUGCGCAAAUUUGAGAAAGCACAAAAUCAGCUCACUCGAUUUAGCUUAGCUUUAGUUAUUUUAUUUUAUUUGUCAACAAAAAGCUUUAGUAAUUAUCACUUAAAACUAUUUUUUUUAGGGGGGAGGAGGGGGGUGGGAUUGUCAUAUAUUUAUUAAAAAUUCAGAAAAUAAUUUAUCAGUAAUUAUAUAUUAGCCAAUAUGCAUCAUCCUCAAUCGGCAUAUUCCACGAUCACCAUAAAAUUUUCAAAAAUCAUUUUGUUAAUAUAUGUAUUUGAUUAAUUUAGUAUUUUUAUUGAAUUUAAUUUUAUUAAUUUUAAAUAAAGAAAACUUUUUUAUAUUCAAAAUGUUUAAAAAAUAAAUAGUCUGAAUCAUUUAGUAUUCAAAUCUUAAUACAAUAUUUUACAACAUAAUAAGAAUUUGAAUAUGUAUUCAGAUUCAAAUAUUUAAAUCUUAAUGCACAUCAUAUUUAUUCGAAAUGUCAUGAUAUUAACAAUGAACUCAUAUCAAUGUUAUUUAUUUCUGUUUUAAUCCUUUUUCAUUCAAAUCAAAGGAUUUACUUACGUACGUACCAUUAAUGCAACUACUAAUUAAUUCCUUGAAUCAUCUUCAUUGGUGAUUAAUUCUCAUGGCUUCCACAUAUGAUUUCCCAACAAGUUCACGGUUGAGAUAUCCUCUAUAAAAUUCAGUGGCUCCCAUUGUUUUGAAUUUUGGUGGAUUAUGAGCUGUAACAAGGCUACUUGCUGGACCUAAUAUAACGUCCAAUCUUGAACUCUGAAAUGUUGCAACUGAAAUCCUUUCUUUUGCUGAGCUCACCAUUGAUCUAUGCUCUAUACUUUUGUAAAUUCCAUUUGAGAAAAUCUGGUAAAAAAAAAUAAAGAAAUAUAUAUAAGAACGGGGCUACAAAGUCAAGUCAGGGUCGGGAUAAGAGUUUUGGGUCAGAGUCAGGUUUUGAGUCCCGCAUCAAGGUAGCGGUAAUGUUUUGAGUCAAAGUCAGGUCUCGAAUCUCGGAUCAGAGUCGAGGUCAUCUCAAGUCAGGGUCGAGUCUUGGAUUUUGGGUCCAAGUUGAGUCUCUAGUUAGUAUCUAGUCUAGGAUCUCGUGUCCAGGGUUGGGGUUGGGUCUCAGUCAAACUUAGGUCCCAAGUCUCGGGUCAGGGUCAAGGUCAUCAUGAGUCGAGGUCGCGUCUCGGGUUUUAGGUCAAAGUUGAGUCUAGGGACUCGAUAAAAGUUAGGUCUUAAGUCUUAAGUUGGGUUUAGAGUCUUAUGUCUUGAGUUGGGGUUAAUGUUAAGUCUCGAGUCUUGGGUUGUGGUCGGUUUUGAGAUCUCCUGUCUUGGGUCGGGUUAGUUCUCGAGUCCAAGCUAGGGUUGGAUCUCAUAUUUCUAGUCAAAUUUGAGGGUCGAUCUUAGGGCUUGAGUCCUAGAUCAAAAUCAAGUCUCGAUUCGGGUCUAAGGUUAGGGUUGGGGUCAGGUCCUCAGCUAGGGUUUGAGACUCGAGUCUCGAAUUCUUAGUCAAAGUUGGGUCUUGGAUCGAGGGUCGAAUCUCGGGUCAUUAUCGAAUCUCAGGUAUCAAGUUAGGGUCGAGUCUCUGAUCUAGGGUCUAGAGUGACGGGUCAAAGUCGAGGGUUGAGUCUCAUGUCUCAGGUUUCUAAGUUAAGGUCAGGUCAGAUCUUGGAUCUCAAAUUUCCAAAUGUGUAUAUAUUCAAAAUUCAAUAUUCAGUCAAAUAUGAUCACAUAAAUUAAAACUAUAGAGAAAAGAAUAAUAGAUAAAGAGAAGAGAAUGAGGGAAAUACCUCAAAAGUAUCUCCAGACUAUGAAGGCGUUAGGGAAGGGUAAAAUGGGAAUCCAAAUUCCAUCCUUUUUAACUUGAAGAAGGAUUGUUAAGGCAGAGGGAUCAGAAUGAGGGCAAAGUCCCAUCACUUUGUCUGGUUGUGGACAUGGUGGAUAGUAAUUCAUCCUCAUUGAUUGCAUCCCUUCUUCAAAAAGACUCUUCACUUCUUUUUCUUUAAUCCCCAAAGCUUUACCCAACAUUUCCAAAACUUUCAUGCUUAGCUCCUUUAUUUCUUCCGUGUACUCUUCAAUCGUCUCUCUACAUAAUAAGUUAUUCUCUUACUUAUUUUCCAGUGUUUAAUACAGAAGGGCGCGAAUAGCGUUAAUUACGUACCUAAGUGAAAGGUAUAGCUUGGAAAAUAUAGGCAUCCGCAAAUGUGGAGGUGCGGUCUUCAAAUAAAAAAGGUCUGCCCAGUCAAGUUUUUGUUCAUCAGAGACAGCGAACAGCUGUCCAAAUCCAUCUGCAUCGCGUGGUGAUCGUUCAAAUUUCUUCUUCUCUUCUAAUGGAAGAUCGUAGAACUUUUGAGUCUCGUGUUUCAUCUUCUCCACCACGGAAUGUCUCGUGUUUCAUCUUUUCCACCACGGAAGAACUAACUCCAUGAUUAAUCAACUGAAACAUGUGGAAAGUUAGAAUUAAGGAGUUGUCAAAAGACGACAAAAGAUUUUAUUUUUUUAAAAAUGAACUAAAAGGAAAGUAAGACAAACAAGCUACGUCACCUGAAAGAAACCCCAGUGUUGAGCUGCAAAAUGCAACUUGUUAAGCUCGAGAUUCAUGAUGUCAUGAUCAUUAGAAUUGGCCAAUCGUUGCAUGUCAAUGACUGGAACUUCCUUAUUAUUACGAUCAUUUGAUGCGAUUGAUGAACUGUCAUGAUCAUCACGUACAUAUCGCGAUGGAAUCGUCACGAGUUUCUUCUUGGCCAGCUCCUGGACAGAAGGAACUUUCUUGUAAUUAACUUCUAGUUCUCCCAUUUAUGUUUAAGGGCAUUCUAUGGCAAGAUAGUGUUGAUAUAUGUAAUAAUAAUUCUGCGAUCACUUGUGUCCACAUUAACAUUCUAUGAUAAUUUCUCAAUUUGAUUAUUAUAGAAAGAUCUAAUUAUUGAAUAAUUGCGUGUGAGGGUUAACAAAACCUAAUUAGCUUGUGAAACUUGUGCAAAACUGACCUCUAUAUCAAAUAGGGGGCAAAAUUAGUACUCCUUCCGUUCCUUUUUGAAACUUGUGCUCUAAAAUAAGUGAUGCAUGUUUAUGUGGUUAUAAAUUAUUUUAUUAAGGGUAAAAUGAAAAUUUUAAAGUUAAAUUGUUACUAAAUAUAGAAAUAUGUCAUUUUAUUGGGACAAAUUGAAAAGAAAAGUAAGUCACAGUUAUACAAACAAAUUAAAAUAAAGAAAGUAAUAAUUUAUAAGGACCACCAUUAUAUUAUAUUGUAUAACCAUCCAUCAAUAAUAAAUGUCACCACCUAAAUUGCGUAUAAACGAACCACACGCAAACUAGACUAUCGUUAAAAAUAUAUUUAUUUUAAAAAGGAUUUCUUGUAGCCAAUGUUUGACAUUUAUGUAAUGACUAUUCACAUGUGAUGGCAAUGUUAUCACAUCGUGUAAUCACAUAUUAGUACCCAUCUCUUUUUCAAAUGCUUCAUUAAAGUCAUAAUUGAGGUUCUAUUUUGUAUUUAAAUCAUUUGCCACAGGGACCAUGUUAAGUAUAGUACAAGGCCUAAUUUUCCACCACAAUCAAAUAAUGUUAUGCCGAUAAGCUUGUACGUUACUACUGAAAACACAUGUCAUCUAUAUGUGACUACACUUUUUGGCUGUGAAUCAAUGGAAUAUUUUAUUUGAUCAAGCAGUGGCGAAUCUAGAAUUUUAUGGUUAUGGAUGCUCUGAAAGUGGUGGAGUCAAAAAUAUAAAAAAGACAUGUUCACGGUGAGAUUCAAACUCAGGAUUAACAACACUACAAGAGCCUUAAGUACCCACCUAGGAGCUAAUGGACUAAUUAGACCAAUUGUUCAUUGAGUGCUCUGUGUAAGUUUAUAUAAAUCCUUCUUAAUUUGUACACACACACAUAUAUAUAUAUUUCGAGAUAAGGUUAAGGGUUGUUCGAGCACCCGAAGGACUCUAUGCGGGUCCCCCCUGUGAUCAAAGUCUGGACACAAAGGUUUUGAUACUAUGUUGAAUUCUUGAUGUGAAACUUCGAAAAUGGCUAUUAUGAAUAGAAAUCUCGGAGCUCCAAUGUGGGCUCUAAACACCGUGUGGGAAACAAAAAAAAUAGAAAUCUCAUUAAGAAAAUAUGAAAAGAUUUUUUAAGUUUGUAGUCUGAAUAAGUCAUAAUAUGUUUAAGUAGUUAAAAUUAUUAUCUAGAGUGAAAUUAAUAUUUUGAAUUUAUAUUGUUACUAAAUAUAAAAAAAAUUGUCACUCUGUUUUUUUUUAAAAACGAGAUAAGUGUUAACAAUACAUCUAAAACAUCACAUUUUUUUUAGUUUCAUACCUAAUAACUAAAUUAUUGGAAGUGUAAUAUACUGUCUGUUUUAUUGGUAAAAUUUUGCCACAUGAAUAAAAUAUUUCAGCUUGACAAAAAUAAAAUAAGUCAUUAAUAUUAACUAAAAGUUAAAGAUUAAAGUAUUACUAUCCAUGAAAAAAAACAUUUUUUUAAAAAAAUAAUUAUCUUUUAAAAGAUAAAAUUUAAAAUAUUUUUCUCAUUCCCACCCCCACCCAAGCCAUGACAAUCCCCCAUCCUUUUAUUAUUUAAAUUUCUUUAAUAAAAAUAUUUUUAAAAAAAUCCAGACUUCACCCCCUUCCCAACUCCUUCCAAAAAAAAUUGAUACUCCCUCCGUCCCAUUUUAUAUGUCAUCCCUUUCUAUAAAUAGUUGCUCCAUAAUACUUGUCAUUUCAUAAAAUCAAUGCAUAAAUUACCAUAUUGUUCCUUUUUUACCCUUGUGAAUUAUUAGCCUUGAAAAUAUACAUUUGCCCAACUUAGAAAAGUUAAAUAAAUGAUUCAUGUUCAUUGGUUAAAUUAAUUAAUCAAAAUAAAUUAAUUCAUAUUCAUUGAUUGAAAACUUGAGUUCCAAAAAAAUUAAAUGAGGGUAGAAGGGUAAAGUUACAUCAUUUCUUAAUGCAAGUGCAAAGUAAAAAUGUGACAUAUAAAAUGGGACGGAUGUGUUGGGUUAUGAAGGGUGAAUAGGGCGUCACGCGGAAGCUUAUAAUUUGCAAAUCAUAUGGUUGAUAUAUCAGAUGACAAAAACUUAUACUAAAAAUCAAAAUAUUAUUAUAUCAAAACUAAUUUUAAAGAAAAACAUUGAAACUUUAGAGAGAAUAAAUCUCCCCAUAAACAAGACUCUUAAACGUCUACAUUGUGGAUGUUAUUGUUAUUGUGUUAGAAGAAACAAACCUAUAUUUAUAGAGUCCUAAAACCUUUCCUACUAGAAAAGGAGUCCUAAAAGGAGAGAAUAAAUCAAAUAUAAAAUAAUAUUAUAUUUUCCUUUCAAGAAAAGUAAAAACAUUUAUGGUAAUGUUUUUUUUUUCUUUAAGGAAAAAUAAAUCUUAAACUAUGGUAAGAAAAUCAAGGCAAAACCCUAACAGGAUGGAGUAUUAAUGUUAUAAUUUUUUUAAAAAAUAAAUUCUACCACACACCAUCUAAGCUUCUCUUCCUAUUAUUUUUUUUACAUUUUUCUCGUUUUGUAUUGAAUAUGUACAUAUAUUUUUAGGAAAAUAUUAUAUAUAACACAAAACGAGUAAAAAAUUGAAAGCGUAGGGUUAGGUGGGGUGAGGUACAAUUAUUUUUUCUUUAAAAAAUAAAAUAAUAUCUACAUUAUUAUUUGAAGGAUAGGGACAGAUGAAGUAAGAAUUUUUCAAAAAACUUUUAUAAAAGGAAUUUUUUUUAAAAAAAAAAACUAAAAAAGUUGGGGGGGGGGGGGGGUUAAAGGAAGUGGUGGAGUGGGGUGAGAAAUAUAUUUUACAUUUUAUUUUUAUAAUUUUUUUUUGGAUAGUUAUACUUUUAUUUUUAACUUUAACUAAUACUAAUAAUUUUUUUUUUGUUAAGGUGGAAUGUAAUUUUGUCCAUUAUUUUAACUAAUACUAAUAAUUGUUUUUAUUUUUUGUUAAGAUAGAAUGCUUUGUCCAUGAUUUUUGAAAAUAAAAGAGAGGAUGUAGUACACACCAUGAUAAGAGUGUAAUAAAGAGAGAGAGAUGCGUUUCUCAAACUAAUAAGUGAUAACUUAUAUAGGAAACUCACAUUCUCAAUAAUUUAGUUAAAAAACUAUAUAUAAAAAAAAAAGAAUAGUUUAGAUGUGUUUUUUUGACACUUUUUUUAAAAUUAACUGGAAAAAAAUUGUAUCAUACAAAUUAGGACAAAAUAAAUAAUAUGCAUAUACAACCUAUAUAUUGUCCGUUUCGGCCCGACCCCUAUUUGGACUACUUCAAGGCCAAUGGGCUUUAACGUUUUGAACCAAACAAUCUUGAAAAUUGAUAUCAUAUUAAAGUAUAUGAUAAUUUUAUUUAAAAAGUUUAAACUUAAGCGUACACAAGCUCUUUUAAUUGAUAAAAGACAUUAUUUUCUGUUUUGUAUCAGAAAAGUCACUUGAUCUUUGCUAUUAUAUUAUUGAUCUAUUUAGUUGACGAACUUUUAAGCAAUAAACUCGUUAAUAAUAAAAUAUGUACGUACCUGGAAGAAACCCCAAUCUUUAGCUGCAAAGUGUAACUUGUUAAGCUCAAGAUUCAUGGAGUGAUGAUCAUUAGAGUUGAUCAAUAAAAAAAUUCGACUAGUGGUUUGGUUUGACUUGGUUUGGUAUUGAAAAAAAAACCCGACUAUAUUUGGGUUGGUUUGGUUUUAACUAAAGAAAAUCAACCCGACACCAAACCAACCCGACAUUAUAUAUGUAAUUUUAAAAUUUUAUUUUAUACAUAAAAAUAUUUACUUUGAUAUAAUUUAAAAAUAUUUCUUAUACUAUUUCAUACUUUUUAUCUUUUAAUAUAUUAUUUCAAGUUUAAAACUUAGAAUUCGAAAUGGUCCAAUGAAGAUUAUAGUUCAUAGAUGUUGAUAAUUAUAAUAAAAACUUAAACCAAAACCACAUUAAUACUAAUGCAAAAAGAAAAUCAAUUUAACACUACAAUAAUAUUGAAUAUUUGUUCUUUAGUUUUACAUUGGUUUAGACAAUUAAAAUACAUAAUCUAAUUUUAAUUUUCCUUAAAUAUUAGUAAUGUAACUAAUACUUAUUAAACUUAUUUUAGCAUGAUUUAGUACUUCUAAAUUAUGAUCAUUUUCAUUAUGACGUUGCAAUAUUUAUUUUAUAUGAUGAUUUCAUUAUUAUUUUUUAUUAAAUAUUUUAGUGUCAUCAGUACUCAUCUCAUAUUUUGUGUUAUUUUCUUAAGAAACACCUUAGAUAAUUGUAUUUUGGUUGGACUAAAGAAAUAUUUGGAGCACAAGUUAAUUGUAUGUUUGUAUGCAAACUUUACCGAAAAAAUCCGAAAAUCUGAAAAAAUCCGAGGUUUAUUAGUUUGGUUUGAUUUAUAAGUUUAAAAAUUCGACACGAUGGUUUGGUAUUUGAAAAACCCGAAAAAAUCCGAAUUUUAUUAGUUUGGUUUGGUUUAUAAAUUUAAAAUUUUUACACAAAUGGUUUGAUUUGAUAUUUGAAAACCCGAACCAACCCGGUCAUGUACACCCCUAAAUUAUAAGACGUUGCAUAUCAAUUAUUGGAACUUGCUUAUAAUUUGACAUUUUACGAGUCAGGCCGGGCUAGCCCAUUUUUGGUGUGGGCCAGAAAACGGUCGGCCCAACCCACAAGUACGUGGGCUACAAGCUUGCCAGGCCAGCCCACUUUUUUUAAAAUUAUGUUUUUUUUUAUAAUUAUUUAAACAAAUUAUAAAUUAUAAUUUAAAAAUAUUAUCAUAAAUAUCGACAAAACAAUAUUACAUCAUGUUAAUGUUACUCCCUGUUAAUCAAAUCCACAAAUAAAAUUAUCUUUUAUAAUAUUUAUUAAGGUUUUUUCAAAUAAAAAUAUAAAAAUCUAAAUAGAAAUAUUAACCUAAUUGUUUUGUCACAUUAAAACACAAAAAAUGUGACAAUAUUCCAACCAUAAAAAAGUUAAAAAUAAACUCCUUAAAAAAAUCAUGAAACUUAUGGCGUAUCUAACACAUCAUGAAAUCUAUGGCGUAUCCAACACUUCACGAUCAUCUUCAUCAAGCAUAUCUGAAUCAGCUUGUGGCAAGGUUGUCUUAACAUCUUCAUUUUCAUCUGUAAUUUAUAUGCGGUUUCCAUUAGUUAAAUAUUAAAUAGAUUUUGAGUUUGGAUUCUCUUUAAUUUUAAAUUUUAAUAUUAUAUUAAAUUUUUUUAAUUAUUUUUAUUUGGCCCACGGGCCGGCCCUACCUAUAUUUCGCAAGCCCCACAAAUCAGCAGACUUAUUCAGGCCGGGCUAAAAAACCCUUUUCUUAAAUGAGCUCCAAAAAUCUUAGCCUUGCCCUAUUAAAUCCCGAGUUAGGCCAGGCCGGCCCAACAGGCCUAGCCCAUAUUGACGGCUCUACAUAUCAAUUAUUGGAACUUGCUUAUAAUUUGAUGUUGCAAUUGAACGGUCUUGAUCAUCACGUACGUAUCGCGAUGGAAUCGUCACGAGUUUCUUCUUGGCUAGUUCCUCGACAGAAGGAACUUCCAUGUACUGAACUUCUAUUUCUCCCAUAUUUGUUUAU